CUUGAACGCUGGCGGCAGGCCUAACACAUGCAAGUCGAACGAGUGGCGGACGGGUGAGUAAUGUCUUGGAAACUGCCUGAUGGAGGGGGAUAACUACUGGAAACGGUAGCUAAUACCGCAUACCAUCAGAUGUACCCAGAUGGGAUUAGCUAUUUGGUGGGGUAACGGCUCACCAAUGCGACGAGCCCUAGCUGGUCUGAGAGGAUGACCAGCCACACUGGAACCGAGACACGGUCCAGACUCCUACGGUAGGCAGCAGUGGGGAAGAUUGCACAAUGGGCGCAAGCCGGAUGCAGCCAUGCCCCGUAGCUGAAGAAGGCCUUCGGGUUGUAAAGUACUUUCAGCGGUGAGGCGUUACCCGCACAAAAAGCACCGGCUAACUCCGUGCCAGCAGCCGCGGUAAUAC
rnacentral:rRNA from 1 species